AAAAUGAAGCUUCCACAGAGGAGGAAAUCAGUUCGCGGGUUGGAAGAAAGUGUGCGGUGGAAGAGACAAGCAACCGAGACCACGUCAGCUUCAAUCCCUGCUCCUGCAUCUGCUCCUGCUACAACUCGAUCUCCAAUCAGCCCUAGUAAGGUACCCCUUUUCGAUAGAAAGGUAGAACCUGGCAAAAAUAUUGAUUUCAGAUUUUUUGAAAAGGAAGGGUUCUCUAUCAGAUCAAAAAUUAU
rnacentral:lncRNA from 1 species